UACGUAGGGGGCAAGCGUUGUCCGGAAUCAUUGGGCGUAAAGCGCGUGUAGGCGGCCCGGUAAGUCCGCUGUGAAAGUCCAGGGCUCAACCCUGGGAUGCCGGUGGAUACUGUCGGGCUCGAGUCCGGAAGAGGAGUGUGGAAUUCCUGGUGUAGCGGUGAAAUGCGCAGAUAUCAGGAAGAACACCCGUGGCGAAGGCGGCUCUCUGGGACGGUACUGACGCUGAGACGCGAAAGCGUGGGGAGCAAACAGG
rnacentral:rRNA from 1 species